rnacentral:rRNA from 1 species
AUACGGAGGGAGCAAGCGUUAUUCGGAAUCACUGGGCGUAAAGGACGCGUAGGCGGGUUUGUAAGUCAGGUGUGAAAUCCUACAGCUCAACUGUAGAACUGCACUUGAAACUACAGACCUAGAGUAUGGAAGGGGCAGAUGGAAUUAGUGGUGUAGGGGUAAAAUCCGUAGAUAUCACUAGGAAUACCGAAAGCGAAGGCGAUCUGCUGGGACAUUACUGACGCUGAGGCGUGAAAGCGUGGGGAGCAAACAGGAUUAGAAACCCUGUAGUCC